UACGGAGGGAGCUAGCGUUGUUCGGAAUUACUGGGCGUAAAGCGCACGUAGGCGGCUAUUCAAGUCAGAGGUGAAAGCCCGGGGCUCAACCCCCGGAACUGCCUUUGAAACUAGAUAGCUUGAAUCUUGGAGAGGCGAGUGGAAUUCCGAGUGUAGAGGUGAAAUUCGUAGAUAUUCGGAAGAACACCAGUGGCGAAGGCGACUCGCUGGACAAGUAUUGACGCUGAGGUGCGAAAGCGUGGGGAGCAAACAGGAUUAGAUACCCCUGUAGU
rnacentral:rRNA from 1 species